GGACUUGUAGCUCAACUGGAUAGAGCACUGCACUACGGAUGCAGCGGUUAGGGGUUCGAAUCCCUUCAAGUCCACAA
rnacentral:tRNA from 2 species